CCCUUGGUAUUCCGAGGGGCAUACCUGUUCGAGCGUCAUUACACCAAUCAAGUCUAACUUGGCAUUGGGUUCGCCUUGCGUACCUCAAACUCAAUGGCAGUAUUGUCGGCCUCAAGCGUUUCAAUUCUCGUUUGUGGGUUUGGCUUUGCUGAUAACUCUCGGUUGACCUCGGAUCAGGUAGGGAUACCCGCUGAACUUAA
rnacentral:misc_RNA from 1 species